AACCAAUGAGUCCUAUCCACUUGUUAGACAUCUUGCUUAGACAUCUUCGGGGACAAAGACUGUCUUCCUUUCGAACUGUACAACUUCUAUCUUCUAAAACCAAGUUUUUAUUUCAUGAGUCCAUCAUAACUCCACCCCCUCAGCGUGAGGCUUAACCAAUCUCCAUAUAGAAUGUCAAGAAACUCUCCUCCCUUUUGCUAAGAGUAAAUAGAGCCCACAUGUACCACCGAUCUCAU